rnacentral:rRNA from 1 species
AACCAACAGGGAUUGCCUUAGUAGCGGCGAGUGAAGCGGCAAGAGCUCAAAUUUGAAAUCUGGUACCUUCGGUGCCCGAGUUGUAAUUUGAAGAAAGCUAUCUUGGAGGUGGCCUUUGUCUAUGUUCCUUGGAACAGGACGUCAUGGAGGGUGAGAAUCCCGUGUGAUGAGGUGUCCAUUUCCGUGUAAGAUGCUUUCGAAGAGUCGAGUUGUUUGGGAAUGCAGCUCAAAGUGGGUGGUAAAUUCCAUCUAAAGCUAAAUAUUGGCGAGAGACCGAUAGCGAACAAGUACUGUGAAGGAAAGAUGAAAAGAACUUUGAAAAGAGAGUGAAAAAGUACGUGAAAUUGUUGAAAGGGAAGGGUAUUUGAUCAGACUUGGUAUUUAGCUAUCAUCGCUCCUUGUGGGUGGUGCUCUAGCUUUUUACUGGGCCAGCAUCAGUUUUGGUGGCAAGAUAAUGACAGUUGAAUGUGGCUCCUCGGAGUGUUAUAGCUUCUGUUGAUGUUGCCUACCGAGACUGAGGUCUGCGGCUUUUGCCUAGGAUGCUGGCGUAAUGAUCCAAUACCGC